rnacentral:rRNA from 1 species
GACGAACGCUGGCGGCGUGCUUAACACAUGCAAGUCGAACGGAAAGGCCCUGCUUUUGUGGGGUGCUCGAGUGGCGAACGGGUGAGUAACACGUGAGUAACCUGCCCUUGACUUUGGGAUAACUUCAGGAAACUGGGGCUAAUACCGGAUAGGAGCUCCUGCUGCAUGGUGGGGGUUGGAAAGUUUCGGCGGUUGGGGAUGGACUCGCGGCUUAUCAGCUUGUUGGUGGGGUAGUGGCUUACCAAGGCUUUGACGGGUAGCCGGCCUGAGAGGGUGACCGGCCACAUUGGGACUGAGAUACGGACCAGGCUCCUACGGGAGGCAGCAGUGGGGAAUAUUGCACAAUGGGCGGAAGCCUGAUGCAGCAACGCCGCGUGCGGGAUGACGGCCUUCGGGUUGUAAACCGCUUUCGCCUGUGACGAAGCGUGAGUGACGGUAAUGGGUAAAGAAGCACCGGCUAACUACGUG